rnacentral:lncRNA from 1 species
UGAAAUCAGAAACAUUUGGUGGAUUUGAGGCCUUCAAUCAAUGUUGAGUUCCAGGCACUGCCUUAACCACUAACUAUAGUAACAUUCUGGGCCAGUGGGAAGAACAAAGGAUGGAAAGAAAAUGAAAACAAGAACAGCCAAACUGACUUUAAAUAAAUCAUUGCAGAAGAGUGCCAAGUAGCACCUAAGCUUGUGCCUGUUUGCUAAUGACUGCAUAUGGGUACAGGGCCCCUUUGAAGUGGCACUGAUGUCCUCCUCUACUCCACUGACCUGCAGAGGGUCAGAGGAGCCCAUUCCAGUGUUGAGAACAGAAUUAUGAAGUUCAUUUUAUACACGAGGCACCUGAGGCCUUAAGGACCACUGUGCCCACAGUUACACAGGAAAUACCAGAGCCAUGACCCAGGUCACUGUAAGGGAUUUUCCAUUUAAGAGAAGGAAACAGAGCUUGCUGUUGCCCCUAAGACUGUCCAGAGGUCCUUGCUUCUCUGGCAACCCCUCUCUGCCAGAUUUGUGCCGGUCCCUGUUUGUAGAGCUGUGGUAGUCCUUCCACACUCAUCACUCUGGCCUCAGCUUCCCCAGACACUUUGGCCUCUGGCUUGGGUCAAACCUCCUUUUCCCCAUAGCUCAGUAAAAGCAAGUUAGAAUACUUCAGAGAGAGCUUUAGUAAGAAGUUAGGGGGAAAAAAGAAUGAAAUCAAUGCAAUUAGACUGACAAAUCGUUGACGGGGCACAGUAAUCUAAGAAUAUAGCUCAGCUUGGGGUUCCUUCCUGAUUCCCCCUGGGAGACGCAGAGCUCCUUUCCUUCUCCCCUCACUUACCCAGAGAAGACCCCCGAAUCGUGACGCAAGCUGACACUGCGCUUAGAUCCGAUGGAAUCCUCAGUGCCUACCUGCUCCCACUCAUAGGGCCAGUGUCUGAGGGCAGCUUCCUUCCUGGGACAGGACGUUCAUUCCCUCACGGUUCCGGUCCCCACUUCAGUGCUCUUCACACCACACUAGGCUGUGGCUGCAGUCACUUUGUAUAAAAACCUAUAACCUGGGUGAGAUGAAAGAUGAAGGACGGUUUUUAUUUCCUAAGAUAAGGGCUUGGGUGGGGCGUGGUAUUUUUUUCAAUCACCUUGCCUGUAUCAGUGAGCUUGAGUGGGUACAAAGUCAUAUGGAGAAUUACCACAAAAAUACUAAUUUUGAGAGAGGUUGAUUAUAGAUCCUUCUCAAAGAUCCUUUCUGGCAUUUUCAAAUUUUGUGC